rnacentral:rRNA from 1 species
GAUGAACGCUGGCGGCGUGCUUAACACAUGCAAGUCGAACGAAGCACUCUACUUGAUCUCCUUCGGGAUUGAUUGUUCUGUGACUGAGUGGCGGACGGGUGAGUAACGCGUGGAUAACCUGCCUCACACAGGGGGAUAACAGUUGGAAACGGCUGCUAAUACCGCAUAAGCGCACAGCACCGCAUGGUGCAGUGUGAAAAACUCCGGUGGUGUGAGAUGGAUCCGCGCCUGAUUAGCUGGUUGGCGGGGUAACGGCCCACCAAGGCGACGAUCAGUAGCCGGCCUGAGAGGGCGACCGGCCACAUUGGGACUGAGACACGGCCCAGACUCCUACGGGAGGCAGCAGUGGGGAAUAUUGCACAAUGGGGGAAACCCUGAUGCAGCGACGCCGCGUGAGCGAUGAAGUAUUUCGGUAUGUAAAGCUCUAUCAGCAGGGAAGAUAAUGACGGUACCUGACUAAGAAGCUC